CCUACGGGGCGCAGCAGUGAGGAAUAUUGGUCAAUGGACGCAAGUCUGAACCAGCCAUGCCGCGUGCAGGAAGACGGCUCUAUGAGUUGUAAACUGCUUUUGUACGAGGGUAAACGCAGAUACGCGUAUCUGUCUGAAAGUAUCGUACGAAUAAGGAUCGGCUAACUCCGUGCAAGCAGCCGCGGUAAUACGGAGGAUUCAAGCGUUAUCCGGAUUUAUUGGGUUUAAAGGGUGCGUAGGCGGUCGGAUAAGUUAGAGGUGAAAUCCCGAGGCUCAACUUCGGAAUUGCCUCUGAUACUGUCCGGCUAGAGAGUAGUUGCGGUAGGCGGAAUGUAUGGUGUAGCGGUGAAAUGCUUAGAGAUCAUACAGAACACCGAUUGCGAAGGCAGCUUACCAAGCUACUUCUGACGUUGAGGCACGAAAGCGUGGGGAGCAAACAGGAUUAGAUACCCCAGUAGUC
rnacentral:rRNA from 1 species